AAUGCUCACACCUUUUUGUUAACAUGAUGAUGAAGAGUUGACACUGGUUCCAUCACCGAUCCAAACAAAAUGAAUGACUGAAUUUCUGGGUGGAAGAACAAAAAUUCAAGAAUUCGUAACUCUUUCAUAUGAACAGAAAAACAAGGUAUGUCUUAUAUGUCGAAGCUUCAUGGGACGCUGAGAAAACAGAGACAAUGGUUAAAUCAUUUAAGAAGUAUGCACUGGAUACAGAGGAUAAUUUGUUGUAUGAGGACUUGGAUGCUGAUUUAGAAGAGGUUUCAAGUGACUCUUCAUUUAGCUCUGGAAAUGAGGGUCUGGGUUUUGUUGAAGAAGAUUAAAAUGUGUUCUUUCCUAGAUAGACUGAGUAUUUGCAGAAAGUAUUACUUUGUAUCUGUAUUACUUUAUAUUUAAAAUACUAUAAAUUCAUUAUAUUGAUCCAGUAAUAAAGUUUUAUCCUUCAAAAA